CAAGGGUAAAAAUAGUAUGUUCUUGAUAUAUGCUGCUAAUGUCUCAACGUGGCACCACUUACUUGGCGCCAGCCCUACCCUAAACUCAUCAUUUUACGAUUAGGUAAUUGUAGUGCUCAUCAAAUAGUUUCCAGAUAAGAAUAAGUAUAAAAGCUAUUGAGUAGAAGACACUGCUCUGUCCUCCCUUAGGCUCAUACACUUGUGACCGUACGUACCUGCUGCAAACGCAUAAGAACUACACCCUCGUGCAUCACGCGUGUGACCAAAAGCAACAUUUUACGUGCAAUUGUGAGAACUAGUUAAUUUUUUAAAACUGAUCUGCGAUUGACAACAAAAUGGCUCAACUUCUGCCAGUAGAAAUGUGGUGCAAAAUCUUUCGCACAUUAGAUGGACCAUCAGUAUUAGCUGCAUCAAGAGCUUGCCCUAUGUUUCUCGAUAUAAUCCAAGAGGAUCCAAUCUUGAAACACGUGCAACGAAAAGCUCUCGAUCAGGAAAAUCUAGAACUAAGAAUGAAAAUAAUAACCUCGCAACUUCAAAGCCUGUCUAAGGAAUGGAUGUCUAUCGCACUUAAUCCUAAGAGGAGGCGUGCCCACAUGUACCUUCUUAGGUCACUUGACCACCAUUCAUGAUGAUCUUGCAUUGUGGUAAUAUUUAUUAAUCGUUUUAUUUAUUAGAUUGAUAAAUUAUAUGUUAGUUUUCAAUAUCAAUAUAUAUCUUAUUAUAACGCAAUGAAAUCUGGUGUUGCAGAAAGGAUGUCAGUUUCAACCCAAUAAAACAUAUUUUAAUUUA